GUGAAUAGGAGGGGAACAUGGUGGAGAUGCUUUAGAAACUGAUGAUCUACUGGGAGUUUCCUGCACAACCAUCACCAGGGCUUACAGGGAAGGUUCAAAAACCUCUGGGUGAAAUGUCGGAGAAUUUUAACUUCAAGCUAUCAAGCCAUCAAUGUGGAAGAAGAGCUGGCAGCAGAGACGAUGGGUCUGUUCCUUGAGCGUAAUGAAAGUGGACAAGUCGGGAAUGUGGGAAUUGUCAACAAGUUACAUUUUUAAAGUAUUUCAAAAGAUACUUGUUGAAAUCACUCCUGAGAAGUUGUCAACAAAGGUGCAAAGAAUAAAAAGUCUAAUGACCUAGUUGACUGUUAUGUUGAUAAGCACAGACGAGACAGAGUGUACCCUCAGAUAUUAGUGAGUCUCUUCUGAAAGCAUGAACAAUCUAUGGGUUAAUUUAACCAAAUCAUCUCAAAGUGUUGUCUGACUGAUUGUGUGAUCUGAUG